UACGUAGGGUGCGAGCGUUAAUCGGAAUUACUGGGCGUAAAGCGUGCGCAGGCGGUUUUGUAAGCCGGAUGUGAAAUCCCCGGGCUUAACCUGGGAAUGGCAUUCGGGACUGCAAGGCUGGAGUGCGGCAGAGGAGACUGGAAUUCCUGGUGUAGCAGUGAAAUGCGUAGAUAUCAGGAGGAACACCGAUGGCGAAGGCAGCCCCCUGGGUCGAUACUGACGCUCAUGCACGAAAGCGUGGGGAGCAAACAGG
rnacentral:rRNA from 1 species